CUUUAAAAAUCUGGAUCAAGCUGAAAAUUGAAACGACACAUCUUUAAUGGUGUGUUCGAGUCUCUCAAAUUUUCGCGACACGAUGGUGUUUUACGAAACAUCUUCGG
rnacentral:sRNA from 3 species